rnacentral:lncRNA from 10 species
CUUAUGCUGGGCAACCAUUAAUCUGUUCUCCAUAAAAAUUUGUAAUUUUAAAAAUGUUUUAUAAACUGAUUUUUAUGUGAUCUGUAAUGUUUGUGAGGGUAUCUCUGUAUUAGUUUGCUAGGGCUGCCAUAAAAAAAUAGUGGGUAGCUUAAAUAACCGAAAUUUCUUUUCUCACAGUUCUGGAGGCUGGAAGUCCAAGAUCAAGGUGCUAUCAGGGUUGGUUUCGGCUGUGGCCUCUCUUCCUGGCUUGUAGACAGCUAUCUUCUCGCAGUGUCCUCACGUGGCCUCUUUGUGUGAAGUUAAAAAUGAACAGAUCAACCUUUUACUCUUCUCUGAAAAAUAUAGUGAAAUUAAUAAUCAAGAACGAUUUUCUGAAAUGAAAACAUCCGAACAGCAUACUGCAAAGACAUUCAGGGGAAAAUAAAAUAGGUUUUGGCAAACGUCUAAUGACACAGAGCCACCAUUGCCAAUUUCACCACUGUCUUUCACCAAGUUGAUUCAUUUUGAACUGGCUCCAGCAAUCUACUCAGAGUUGACCUCAGAGCAAAAAAUUGAACAACAGCUCCAUAUGUUGAUGUGAACUGUGACUCCAGGAGAACGGUGGAAAAGUGUCUUGAUCCAGGAAGGAAGGGGUAUAGAGAAAAUAUGAGUCUCACCACACUAGAAGCAACAUAUGCAAAAUCCAUCAAACACACCAUAAAAUCAAUGUGGGAGUAACAACACCUUGGCCUACUGCUCCCUGAAAAGUUUUUCUCUCGUCAAGUGAUGACAGGCGUACAUUUGUAAAUAAAUUACCAAGUUGCUUUUGAUUUGAUGGAGAAGGAAGAAAAGGAUUGUCUCCUGGAAGUAUUUUUAUUGUCUUAAUAGAGAGAACAGGUUUCUUCACGAGAGUCACCUUGCUUUGGGUUCCCAGCAAGCUGUGUUUCCCCUCUGAACAUCUCAGCAUCGUAAUUCUCUAUCCUUUGGAUGCCAGUGCAACAUAGAAGGUGGAAUUACAUGCUGGAGAAACAAGACAAUCGCCUCUAUUAAAAAAAUAAAUACCCGAAGCUGGACUGUACUGGCCGCCAUCUCUGCUCACUGCAACCUCCCUCCCUGAUUCUCCUGCCUCAACCUGCCGAAUGCCUGCGAUUGCAGGCGCACACCGCCA